rnacentral:rRNA from 1 species
GACGAACGCUGGCGGCGUGCUUAACACAUGCAAGUCGAACGGAAAGGCCCUGCUUUUGUGGGGUGCUCGAGUGGCGAACGGGUGGGUAACACGUGAGUAACCUGCCCUUGACUUUGGGAUAACUUCAGGAAACUGGGGCUAAUACCGGAUAGGAGCUCCUGCUGCAUGGUGGGGGUUGGAAAGUUUCGGCGGUUGGGGAUGGACUCGCGGCUUAUCAGCUUGUUGGUGGGGUAGUGGCUUACCAAGGCUUUGACGGGUAGCCGGCCUGAGAGGGUGACCGGCCACAUUGGGACUGAGAUACGGCCCAGACUCCUACGGGAGGCAGCAGUGGGGAAUAUUGCACAAUGGGCGGAAGCCUGAUGCAGCAACGCCGCGUGCGGGAUGACGGCCUUCGGGUGGUAAACCGCUUUCGCCUGUGACGAAGCGUGAGUGACGGUAAUGGGGAAAGAAGCACCGGCUAACUACGU